rnacentral:sRNA from 1 species
GGAGCCAAGGGAGGCAAAGUGAAGCUUCUGGGGAAACCUGUGCAGAUGCCCUCUCUGAACUGGCCAGAAGCCCUGCCCCCACCUCCUCCUUCUUGUGAACUGAGCUGCUUAGAAGGGCAGGAGGAGGAGCUGGAGGGCAGCUCAGAGCCAGAGGAGUGGUGCCUGCCAAUGCCUGAGAGAAGUCACCUGACGGAACCCAGCUCCAGUGGAGGGUGCCUGGUCACUCCAUCCCGAAGGGAAACCCCCUCUCCCACACCUUCCUAUGGACAGCAGUCCACAGCCACUCUUACACCCUCACCUCCUGACCCUCCCCAGCCCCCAAAUGACAUGCCCCAUCUCCAUCAGAUGCCCAGGAGGGUGCCCCUUGGGCCGAGUUCCCCUCUCAGUGUAUCCCAGCCCAUGCUGGGCAUCCGUGAAGGGAGGCCUGCUGGCUUGGGUGCUGGCCCUGCAGCCUCACCCCACCUCAGCCCCAGUCCUGCCCCUAGCACAGCCAGCAGUGCCCCAGGCAGAACCUGGCAGGGGAAUGGGGAGAUGACUCCCCCACUUCAAGGACCCCGUGCUCGAUUCCGGAAGAAACCCAAGGCUCUUCCCUACAGGAGGGAGAACAGUCCUGGGGACUUGCCCCCACCACCCUUGCCACCGCCAGAGGAAGAGGCGAGCUGGGCCCUAGAGCUGAGGGCAGCAGGCAGCAUGUCCUCCCUGGAGCGGGAGCGCAGUGGGGAGAGGAAAGCGGUCCAGGCCGUGCCCCUGGCCGCCCAGCGGGGGCUCCACCCAGAUGAAGAGGCCUGGCUCCCAUACAGCAGACCAAGCUUCCUGUCCCGGGGCCAGGGCACCAGCACAUGUUCCACGGCCGGCAGCAACUCUUCCAGGGGCUCCAGCAGUUCUAGGGGCUCCCGGGGCCCUGGCCGGAGCCGG